rnacentral:rRNA from 1 species
UACGUAGGGUGCAAGCGUUGCCCGGAUUUAUUGGGCGUAAAGGGCGCGCAGGCGGCUCGGCACGUCCGUUGUGAAAUCGCCCGGCUCAACUGGGCGGGGUCAGCGGAUACGGUGUGGCUCGAGCAAGCUAGGGGGCAAUGGAACUCCCGGUGUAGUGGUGGAAUGCGUAGAUAUCGGGAAGAACACCAGUGGCGAAGGCGGUUGCCUGGAGCUUUGCUGACGCUGAUGCGCGAAAGCGUGGGGAGCGAUCCGG